rnacentral:rRNA from 1 species
CCUACGGGUGGCAGCAGUGAGGAAUAUUGGUCAAUGGUCGAGAGACUGAACCAGCCAAGCCGCGUGAGGGAGGAAGGUACAGAGUAUCGUAAACCUCUUUUAUCAGGGAAUAAAGGCGGGGACGUGUGCACGGAUGAGUGUACCUGAAGAAUAAGCAUCGGCUAACUCCGUGCCAGCAGCCGCGGUAAUACGGAGGGUUCGAGCGUUAUCCGGAUUUAUUGGGUUUAAAGGGUGGGUAGGCCGGUCGUUAAGUCAGCGGUGAAAGCUCGGGGCUCAACCCCGGACGGGCGGUGGAAACUGGCAGUCUCGAGUGGGAGAGAGGCAUGCGGAAUGCGCGGUGUAGCGGUGAAAUGCAUAGAUAGCGCGCAGAACUCCGAGUGCGAAGGCAGCAUGCCGGAUCCACACUGACGCGGAGGCACGAAAGCGUGGGUAUCGAACAGGAUUAGAUACCCGGGUAGUC